UACGAGUGCCUCAAGCGUUAUCCGGAAUCAUUGGGCGUAAAGGGUGUGUAGGUGGCUCUGUUAGUCUCCUGUUAAAUAUUCGGGCUUAACCUGAAAAAUGCAGGGGAAACGGCAGAACUAGAGGAUGCGAGGGGUCUGCGGAACUCAUAGUGUAGCGGUGAAAUGCGUUGAUAUUAUGGGGGAACACCAAAAGCGAAGGCAGCAGACUGGAGCACUCCUGACACUGAAACACGAAAGCGUGGGUAGCGAAUGGG
rnacentral:rRNA from 1 species